rfam:Opitutae bacterium SCGC AG-212-L18 AG-212-L18.4, whole genome shotgun sequence.
GACCAAACUAUCAAGGGCAGCAGGUGAAUGCCUUGGCGACAUCAGGCGAAGAAGGACGUGGCAAGCUGCGAUAAGCCUCGGGGAGCGGCAAACACGCUUUGAUCCGGGGAUUUCCGAAUGGGGGAACCCGGCUGGCUGAAAGCCAGUCAGCUUAAACUGAAUUCAUAGGUUUAAGUAGCGACACCCGCUGAAGUGAAACAUCUCAGUAAGCGGAGGAAAGGAAAGCGAAAGCGAUUCCCUGUGUAGUGGCGAACGAAAGGGGAAUAGCCCAAACCAGCAAGAUUUAUCUUACUGGGGUUGUAGGACUCCAAUGUGGGAUCAUGAAGGAUAGGAGAAGCUUUUGGAAAGAAGCACCAUAGAAAGUGACAGUCUUGUAUCCGAAAUCUAGAGUGACCCUAGGAUGUUCCUGAGUAGCACGAGACACGUGAAACCUCGUGUGAAUCUACGCAGACCACUGCGUAAGGCUAAAUACUCGGUGUCGACCGAUAGUGAACUAGUACCGUGAGGGAAAGGUGAAAAGUACCCCUGCUAGGGGAGUGAAAUAGUACCUGAAACCUGCUGCCUACAAGCGGUCGGAGCCUCUUUAUGGGGUGACGGCGUACCUUUUGUAUAAUGGGUCUGGGAGUUAUUGUCAACAGCAAGCUUAAAGUCCUACGGACUGGAGGCGAAGUGAAAGCGAGCCUGAAUAGGGCGAAUAAGUUGUUGGCAACAGACCCGAAGCGUAGGUGAUCUACCCAUGGCCAGGUUGAAGCUUGAGUAAAAUCAAGUGGAGGACCGAACCGGUGAACCUUGAGAUGUUCUCGGAUGAGCUGUGGGUAGGAGCGAAAGACUAAUCAAACCACGUAAUAGCUGGUUCUCUUCGAAAUAUAUUUAGGUAUAGCCUCAUGCGCUGACAAUCGGGGGUAGAGCACUGAAAAGGCUAGGGCCCAUACCAGGGUACCAAACCUUAUCAAACUCCGAAUACCGAUUGGUGAAGCAUGGGAGUCAGUCUUGGGGGGAUAAGCUCCUAGGACGAGAGGGAAAGAGCCCAGACCACCACUUAAGGCCCCUAAAUUACUGCUCAGUGGAUUGAAGGAAGUGGAUCUACAUAAACAAUAGGGAUGUUGGCUUAGAAGCAGCCACCAUUUAAACAGUGCGUAAUAGCUGACCUAUCGAGUGGAUUUGCGCCGAAAAUGAUCGGGACUUAAGCAGUAUGCCGAAAGUGUGGACCCUACUUAAGUAGGGUGGUAGAAGAGCGUUCCAAUUGGGCUGAAGCCGGAAAGGUGAUUGACGGUGGACUGGUUGGAAGUGAGGAUCCAGACAUGAGUAACGAUAAACACGGUUGAAAUCCGUGUCGCCGUAAGGAUAAGGUUUCCUGGGGAAGGUUCGUCCGCCCAGGGUUAGUCGGGUGCUAAGGCAAGGCCGGAAGGAGUCGUCGAUGCACAACAGGUUAAUAUUCCUGUACCACCUUAUAUGCGUCAUUACCAUCGGAGUGACGGAGAAAGCUAACUCAGCACGGUGUUGAAUGUCCGUGUCUAAGCGCUUAGGCUGUCUAGUAGGAAAAUCCGCUAGACAUUAAGGCUGAAACGUAAUGGGACUUUGAGGCUACGGCCGAUAAGGAUUGAGUGAUGCUAUGCUUCCAAGAAAACCUUCGUUGGGAGUCUAUAAGGUGCCCGUACCGCAAACCGACACAGGUAUCCGGGAUGAGUAUUCUAAGGCGCGUGAGUUAAAUCUUCUCAAGGAACUCGGCAAGUUCGCCCCGUAUCUUCGGUAGAAGGGGUGCCUACUUCGGUAGGCCGCAGUGAAGAGACCCAAUCGACUGUUUAGCAAAAACAUAGCUCUCUGCAAAGUCGCAAGACGCAGUAUAGGGAGUGACACGUGACCAAUGCGGAAAGGUGAACACCUGAGGUGCAAGCUUCGGGUCCAAGCCCCCGUGAAUGUCGGCCGUAACUAUAACGGUCCUAAGGUAGCGAAAUUCCUUGUCGGGUAAGUUCCGACCUGCACGAAUCGUGUAACGAAUUGGGUGCUGUCUCGAGAAGAUGCUCAGUGAAAUUGUAGUCGCGGUUAAGAUGCCGCGUUCCCGCAGCAGGACGGAAAGACCCUAUGGACCUUUACUGUAACCUGGUAUUGGUAUCUGAUUUUUAAUGCGUAGCAUAGGUGGGAGACGAAGAGGCCCUUCUCCAGGGAGGGGCGGAGUCAUUAGUGAAAUACCACUCUUUAAUGAUUGGAUAUCUAACUUUGUGCCAUAAUCUGGGCAAAGAACAGUGCUAGGGGGUCAGUUUGACUGGGGCGGUCUCCUCCUAAAGAGUAACGGAGGAUUGCGAAGGUUUCCUCAGGCUGGUUGGUAAUCAGUCGUUGAGCGCAUGAGUAUAAGGAAGCUUUACUGUGAGACUUACAAGUCGAGCAGUUACGAAAGUAGGCUCAAGUGGUCCGGUAGUGGAUUGUGGAAUCGCUAUCGCUUAAAGGAUAAAAGGUACCCUAGGGAUAACAGGCUGAUCGCGCCCAAGCGUUCACAGCGACGGCGCGGUUUGGCACCUCGAUGUCGGCUCAUCACAUCCUGGGGCUGUAGAAGGUCCCAAGGGUUCGGCUGUUCGCCGAUUAAAGUGGUACGCGAGCUGGGUUCAGAACGUCGUGAGACAGUUCGGUUCUCUAUCCGCUGCGGGCGUUCGAAAUUUGAGGGGUUCAUUUUCUAGUACGAGAGGACCGAAAAUGACGAGCCGCUGGUGUUCCGGUUAUUGCGUCAGCAGUACCGCCGGGUAGCUAUGCUCGGAAGAGAUAAGCGCUGAAAGCAUCUAAGCGCCAAGCUCAUCCCAAGAUAAGAUUUCGUUGGAGAUUUAUCUCCUGAAGAGUCCUGGAAGACUACCAGGUUGAUAGGCCAGAUGUGUAAGUGGGGUAACUCAUUGAGCAAACUGGUACUAAUGACUCAAAUGUUUGGUCAC